rnacentral:rRNA from 1 species
UUAGCUCUACCUUAAUUUUUUUAUUACACCAAACAAAAUACUAAAUUUAAGAGCUAUUCAAAUAAGGCACAGCUUAUUUGAAAUGGGGUACAACCCCUAAUACUGGGUUAAUUUAGAUAUAUUAAAUAAAGUGGGCCUAAAAGCAGCCAUCUUCCAAAAAGCGUUAAAGCUUAACAUAUUAACAUCUACAAUUCCACAAUUUUUACUUAACCCUUCAUUACUACUGAACUAUUUUAUACCCCUAUAAAAGUCAUUAUGCUAGAACUAGUAACAAGAAAUUGCCCUUCUCCAAAAUGUAUGUUUAAACCAAAAUGGACACUCCACUGGUAGUUAACGUAAAUGUAAAAAUCAUAGUACCACACACUAGAAAACCCUAUGAUUCCCAACGUCAACCUUACACUAGAACAUUACAGGAAAGAUUAAAAGAGAAAGAAGGAACUCGGCAAACCACAGUCCCGCCUGUUUACCAAAAACACCGCCUCUUGCCCAAAUAUAAGAGGUCCAGCCUGCCCAGUGACAUAGUUUAACGGCCGCGGUACCCUAACCGUGCGAAGGUAGCAUAAUCACUUGUUCUUUAAAUAAGGACUCGUAUGAACGGCAUCACGAGGGCUGUACUGUCUCCUUUCUCCAAUCAGUGAAACUGAUCUCCCCGUGAAGAAGCGGGGAUUGACCUAUAAGACGAGAAGACCCCAUGGAGCUUUAAACCCAAUACACACCUCUACGCACCCAAAUCAAUAUAGCCUAAGAGACUUGCGUGUUGGUUUUAGGUUGGGGGGACCACGGAGUAUAAUCAAACCUCCAUGACAGACGGGCUAACACCCUUAUCCAUGAACCACAAUUCUAAGAGCCAAUAAAUUGUUGUCUAAUGACCCAAUUACUUGAUCAACGAACCAAGUUACCCUGGGGAUAACAGCGCAAUCUACUUCAAGAGCCCCUAUCGACAAGUAGGUUUACGACCUCGAUGUUGGAUCAGGGUAUCCUAGUGGUGCAGCCGCUACUAAAGGUUCGUUUGUUCAACGAUUAAAACCCUACGUGAUCUG